AUACAGAAACUUCUGCUACUUUUGGGUUGGCUAUUUGUACAAAUACAUUGCUUAAAUUUACAGGCAAAAUCAUUUUCAAAUACCUUAAUAAAAUAGAUCAUAGUUUUUAUUUAAAGAUUUUAUUCUCUAUCUAUAACUUGUGCUAUGCACUGAAAAGCCAGGGUGUUUGUCAUGAUGCUGUGCAUUACCAAAGAGUUGUGGGUUGGACCAGGUCUGAUUAAUGUAUAGUUAAUAUGCUGGGGUUUCUAUCAAAUUCAGCACCAGGAUGCAGGCAGGUAUUACUAUGUUAAAAGACUUUUAAGAUUCUCCCAGUAUUCUUGAUAAUAUUUUAAGAAUUUAUGUUGUGCUCACCAUACUCUGAUUUUCUUCUCCCAUUUUGAUCUACUAUUGAUUUCAAGAUUUUCCAAAAGUUUCAGCUUUACAUCACUGGCUUCCAGAAUUUUUGCAGUGAUUUUGGCUUUUAGAAUAGGAAAGGAGUUGAAAUGGGGAAUUCUUGAAAUGCCAGUCAUGGGUCAUACUGAAAGGCAAAAAGGACCAGCAUGGGGAUUGUAGUUGUAGAAAGAGAUGUACAGAAGUUAGAAAAAUAGCUAGCUGCCAGUGGAACACCUGGAAACUAACUGGAUUUAACUUACAUAAUUUGACAUUCUAAAAUUUUUUAACAUGUUGCAACA